UACGGAGGGUGCAAGCGUUAUCCGGAUUCACUGGGUUUAACAAGGGUGCGUAGGUGGGCUAGUAAGUCCGUGGUGAAAUCCCUGAGCUUAACUUGGGAACUGCCAUUGAUACUAUUAGUCUUGAAUAUCGUGGAGGUAAGCGGAAUAUGUCAUGUAGCGGUGAAAUGCUUAGAUAUGACAUAGAACACCAAUUGCGAAGCAGCUUGCUACACGGUCAUUGACACUGAGGCACGAAAGCGUGGGGAGCAAACAGG
rnacentral:rRNA from 1 species